GAUUCUGGAGGUGCUGAGAGACCCCAAAAUCUUCAUUUGUUGAAGUUUUUCGGAUUUCUGAGAAUCUCUUCUUCUCUUUUUUCCCCUCUUUUCCCUCCUUUUUUUUUCUCUUUAUUUCUCUUUUUCCCUCUCUUUUCCCCUCCCUUUUUCCCUCCUUUUUUCCUCUUUUCUCUCCUUUUUUUUUCUCUUUUUCCCUCUCUUUUUUCCCUCUCUUUUCCCCUCCCCUUUUCUCUUUUCCCUUUUUUUUCUCUCUUAUUUCUCCUUUUCCUCCUUUUUUUCCCCUCCCCUUUUUCUCCUUUUUUUCUUCUUUUUCCCUCUCUUUUUCCCUCCUUUUUUCUCCUUUUUUUUUCCUUUCCCUCCUUUUUUUCUCUUUAUUUCUCUUUUUCCAUCUUUUUUCCCUCUCCUUUUCCCUCCUUUUUUCUCUCAUUUAUUUCUCUUUUCUCUCCUUUUUUUCCCUCUUUAUUUCUUUUUUCCCUCCCUUUUCUCUCCCUUUUCCCCUCCCUUUUCCCUCCUUUUUUCCUUUUCCCUCCUUUUUUUCUCUUUAUUUCUCCUUUUCCCUCCCUUUUCCCUCCUUUUCUUUUUCCUCCUUUUCUCUCAUUUUUUUUCUCUUUAUUUCUGCUUUGUCCCAUUUCCCUUUUUCCCCUUUUCCUCUCUGUUUCUCUCAUUCCAGCUCCAGCUCUCUUCCAUGAAGACCCCAGGGCCCCUCCCCUCCCUCCCGCGCUCUCUCUGCUGCGUUCGCUCGGAUUUGCCCUGGGAUCCCAAAAUUCACAGUUUCCACCCCAAAUUCUGCAUCUUCCAUCCCCAAGUCUCAGAUUUUCCACCCCAAAUUCGGGAUUUUCCACCCCAAAUCUCAGAUUUUCCCUGGAAUUCCACCCCAAAUUCCAGAUUUUCCACCCCAAAUUCCAGAUUUUCCAUCCCAAAUUUCAGAUUUUUCCCUGGAAUUCCAUCCCAAAUUCGGGAUUUUCCACCCCAAAUUUCAGAUUUUUCCCUGGAAUUCCAUCCCAAGUUCCAGAUUUUCCAUCCCAAAUUUUGGAUUUUCCCUGCAAUUCCAUCCCAAACUCUCCGUUUUCCCUGAAAUUCCAUCGCCAAUUUUGGAUUUUCCACUCCAAACUCUGGAGUUCCCCUGGGAUCCACCCCAAGUUCGGGAUCUUCCACUCCAAAUUCUGGAGUUCCCCUGGAAUUCCACCCAAACUUUGGAUUUUCCCUGGAAUUCCCUCCCAAAUUCCGGAUUUUCCCUCCCAAAUUCUGGAUUUUCCCUCCCAAAUUUUGGAUUUUCCCUGGAAUUCCCUCCCAAAUUCCGGAUUUUCCCUCCCAAAUUCCGGAUUUUCCCUGGAAUUCCCUCCCAAAUUCGGGAUUUUCCCUCCCAAAUUCCGGAUUUUCCCUCCCAAAUUUUGGAUUUUCCCUCCCAAAUUCUGGAUUUUCCCUGGAAUUCCCUCCCAAAUUCCGGAUUUUCCCUCCCAAAUUCGGGAUUUUCCCUCCCAAAUUUUGGAUUUUCCCUCCCAAUUCCCUCCCAAAUUCCGGAUUUUCCCUCCCAAAUUUUGGAUUUUCCCUCCCAAAUUUUGGAUUUUCCCUCCCAAAUUCCAGAUUUUCCCUGGAAUCCCACCCCAGAUUCCCUCCUUUCCCUGCAGUUUCCAUCCCAAGAGAGGGAAAAUGAGGAUUUUCCCCCCAUUUUGGUGUCAGUUUCCCUUUGGUGGAAUAAAUGUAGAGCUGGACCAUUCCUGCUGCCUGUGCUGCUGA
ensembl:lncRNA